CAACAGGCCAGUUUCAGCCACAGAUAGACACCAGCAGAAGUCUCACAGAACAGCUCCAGCAAUUCCAGCAGAAGACUAAAGUCAACUGAAGGAAGAAAGCUUAAAAUGCUGCUGAUUAACUUAGUUACCAGGGACUGAGGACUACAAGACCUGUGAUGCUCCACAUCAAUAGCAGCUUGUAACUGGACUUGAAAUAGAGAAAUCUGUCAACAGCUGCUAUGUGAACUUCCCACAACAGUUGAAGUCUUCAGCUCUCUUUUCAUCUCCUGCCAGUGUUGUACUCUUCCUCAAUCUCAGGGAAAAAAAAAAAAAAUGUGUUUUUUCUGUGAUCUA